CCUACGGGAGGCAGCAGUGGGGAAUAUUGGACAAUGGGCGAAAGCCUGAUCCAGCAAUGCCGCGUGAGUGAUGAAGGCCUUAGGGUUGUAAAGCUCUUUUACCAGGGAUGAUAAUGACAGUACCUGGAGAAUAAGCUCCGGCUAACUCCGUGCCAGCAGCCGCGGUAAUACGGAGGGAGCUAGCGUUGUUCGGAAUUACUGGGCGUAAAGCGUACGUAGGCGGUUAUUCAAGUCAGAGGUGAAAGCCUGGAGCUCAACUCCAGAACUGCCUUUGAAACUAGAUAGCUAGAAUCUUGGAGAGGUGAGUGGAAUUCCGAGUGUAGAGGUGAAAUUCGUAGAUAUUCGGAAGAACACCAGUGGCGAAGGCGACUCACUGGACAAGUAUUGACGCUGAGGUACGAAAGCGUGGGGAGCAAACAGGAUUAGAUACCCUGGUAGUCCACGCCGUAAACGAUGAUAACUAGCUGUUCGGGCUCUACGAGCUUGUGUGCGCNGCUACGACAUAAGUUAUCGUCCGUGGGAGGUACGGUCGCGAGAUAAACUACAAGAAGUAGACGCGNGAGAGNGCGACGACGACGACGAGGGAGAG
rnacentral:rRNA from 1 species